rnacentral:rRNA from 1 species
UCCAGACUCCUACGGGAGGCAGCAGUGGGGGAUAUUGCACAAUGGGGGGAACCCUGAUGCAGCGACGCCGCGUGGGUGAAGGAGUAUUUCGAUAUGUAAAGCCCUAUCGGCAGGGAAGAAGCAAGACGGUACCUGACUAAGAAGCCCCGGCUAACUACGUGCCAGCAGCCGCGGUAAUACGUAGGGGGCGAGCGUUAUCCGGAUUCACUGGGUGUAAAGGGAGCGUAGACGGCCAAGCAAGCCAGGGGUGAAAGCCCGGGGCCCAACCCCGGGACUGCCCUUGGAACUGCUUGGCUGGAGUGCGGGAGGGGCAGGCGGAAUUCCUGGUGUAGCGGUGAAAUGCGUAGAUAUCAGGAGGAACACCGGCGGCGAAGGCGGCCUGCUGGACCGUAACUGACGUUGAGGCUCGAAAGCGUGGGGAGCAAACAGGAUUAGAUACCCCCGUAA